AAGGUCUUGAUUUCAUGCUGCCAAGAAAAGCCUCUAGCCAGGUAAAGGUGCCCGUACCGCAAACCGACACAGGUAGGCGAGAAGAGAAUUCUAAGGCGCGCGGAAGAACUCUCGUUAAGGAACUCGGCAAAAUGACCCCGUAACUUUGGGAGAAGGGGUGCCCCGGUAGGGUUUAUAGCCCGAGGGGGCCGCAGUGAAUAGGCCCGAGCGACUGUUUAGCAAAAACACAGGUCUGUGCGAAGCCGUAAGGCGAAGUAUACGGGCUGACGCCUGCCCGGUGCUGGAAGGUUAAGGGGAGUGGUUAGCCGUAAGGCGAAGCUAUGAACCGAAGCCCCAGUAAACGGCGGCCGUAACUAUAACGGUCCUAAGGUAGCGAAAUUCCUUGUCAGGUAAAUUCUGACCCGCACGAAUGGCGUAACGACUUGGGCGCUGUCUCAACGAGAGAUCCGGUGAAAUUUUAAUACCUGUGAAGAUGCAGGUUACCCGCGACAAGACGGAAAGACCCCAUGGAGCUUUACUGCAGCUUGAUAUUGGACUUUG
rnacentral:rRNA from 1 species